rnacentral:rRNA from 1 species
UGGGGAAUAUUGCACAAUGGGGGGGAACCCGUGAUGCAGCGACGCCGCGUGGGUGAAGGAGUAUUUCGGUAUGUAAAGCCCUAUCAGCAGGGAAGAACAAUGACGGUACCUGACUAAGAAGCACCGGCUAAAUACGUGCC